GAGAGCCGAGAUGCGGAGAAACUCCGCACGUCCGGUUCGGGAAGAGGGACGGGAGAGACGGCCCGGAAGAUAAGGGAAGGUUGAAAGUAAUCCAUACGCGCUCCCGCCCUACUUUCAC
rnacentral:ncRNA from 1 species